rnacentral:rRNA from 1 species
AAGGAAUAUUGGACAAUGGGCGCAAGCCUGAUCCAGCCAUGCCGCGUGAAGGAUGAAGGCCCUAUGGGUCGUAAACUUCUUUUAUACGGGACAAAACCCCUCCUCGUGAGGAGGGUUGAUGGUACUGUAAGAAUAAGGGUCGGCUAACUUCGUGCCAGCAGCCGCGGUAAUACGAAGGACCCGAGCGUUAUCCGGAUUUAUUGGGUUUAAAGGGUGCGUAGGCGGAUUAGUAAGUCAGUGGUGAAAGCCCGUCGCUUAACGGCGGAACUGCCAUUGAUACUGCUAGUCUUGAGUAUGGUUGAGGUGGGCGGAAUGUGUCAUGUAGCGGUGAAAUGCUUAGAUAUGACACAGAACACCAAUUGCGAAGGCAGCUCGCUAAGCCAUAACUGACGCUGAGGCACGAAAGCGUGGGGAGCAAAC